GACCCUGUAGCACAAUUUAAAGCGCAUUGAACUUCUAAUCCAAAGGUCGUGGGUUCGAUUCCCCCCUGGGAUGGCCU